CCUACGGGGCGCAGCAGUGGGGGAUAUUGCACAAUGGGGGGAACCCUGAUGCAGCGACGCCGCGUGGGUGAAGGAGUAUUUCGGUAUGUAAAGCCCUAUCGGCAGGGAGGAAUUUAGACGGUACCUGACUAAGAAGCCCCGGCUAACUACGUGCCAGCAGCCGCGGUAAUACGUAGGGGGCAAGCGUUAUCCGGAUUCACUGGGUGUAAGGGGAGCGUAGACGGCCAGGCAAGCCUGGAGUGAAAGCCCGGGGCCCAACCCCGGGACUGCUCUGGGAACUGUCCGGCUGGAGUGCGGGAGGGGCAGGCGGAAUUCCUGGUGUAGCGGUGGAAUGCGUAGAUAUCAGGAGGAACACCGGCGGCGAAGGCGGCCUGCUGGACCGCGACUGACGUUGAGGCUCGAAAGCGUGGGGAGCGAACAGGAUUAGAUACCCUGGUAGUC
rnacentral:rRNA from 1 species